AAAAAGGGGCACAGUGAUGACAGUACACUUUGAUACAACCAUUCUCCCAAGAGACGCGAUGACGAGUAUGUGCGUGACUCUGGAGGGAAAGGGUCUACAUCUGUCUCUGCUUGUGCCUCGGAUGGGUUUUACAGUAGACGUACCACUGACCCCGCCUCUUCACCACCCAGAAAGAGGGAGGAAUUUGUCCAAGCUCUCCCAGUGAGCUGAUGCCAGAGCCAGGACUAGAACUCAGGUCUCCCAAUUCUCAGCACAGUGUGAUUUUCCUUGCAGAAUGUUGAUGCUCAAAGAACAGGAACCCCAGAACCCCAGGGAGGUAAGGAAGAAGAGCACAGCCAGGAUCAGAAGAGUGAAGAAACAAUGAUGUCCCACAGGUCACAGGGAGUAAGUAGCUGCUCUAGGGGUGAACCCAAGAGUGGUGAUUCACUGUCCAAACUACUGGCUGGAGGAGAGCUCGUGGUGGUCAUGUACGUGUGUGCAUGUGUGUGUGUCUAUAUUUGAGUGGGGCAAGGGAGGGGAUUGGGGACCGGGGGAGACCAGCCUUCUAAACACAUGAUACAAAUACUAUGGCUAUGACACAACAGGUGUUUGUCAACCUGUUCCAGCUCUUCCCAACUAUGGCAGUGGCUAUGGCCUAACAGCUGGAGGCAGGAACAGGGCAGUGACAAGAAUCAGCAACUGCAUAGGGGCCUCAUCAAUUUCCAGUCCUCCAUCCAGAAGAGGACAGGACAUGCUCAAGCUGCCCCAAAGAGAAAGGACAAAGGAGAGGAAUUCUGAGAUGCAAGUCCCUAUGGAAGAGGGGACAGAGUUAAAUUCCAGCAGUCCAACAGACUAUGGCUAGAGCCAUAGUCUUCUCUUACCUGUAUCUUUAACGUUCAGCUUACUAUUGGUUCCUUAUUAUCUCCUGUUAGUGAGGUUCCUUUCAAAAACAAUAAAACAAAACAAUAUUUUCCCGCUC
rnacentral:lncRNA from 1 species